rnacentral:sRNA from 1 species
UGGAUAAAUUGUCAUAUGAGAUAGAAAUAAGGCCAUGCUGCAAAUUUCGAAAAUGUACAGCUUGAUAAAUGGGGGCAAACAUGAUCCAGGGUAAGAAGGGGCAAUUUGGUGACUUCACAAAAGAUACCAUUUAAUGAAAGUUUACUAGUUUUUUGUUUUUUUGUCUUCCAAAACAGGACACUCCUGGGUUUAUUGUGAACCGCCUCCUGGUUCCAUACCUCAUGGAAGCAAUCAGGCUGUAUGAACGAGGGCCUCCUGGCUUCCCUGUGAGGCCUCUGAGAAAGGUUUCUGGAACUCCUACCACCCCCACUACAGUCCCAGCCAGAGCAAUUGCAUGGCCGUCCCAGAUUGAUAUCCUGGAUCUCUGCUUUUGAUUAAAAGGUGAUGCAUCCAAAGAGGACAUUGACACUGCUAUGAAAUUAGGAGCCGGUUACCCCAUGGGCCCAUUUGAGCUUCUAGAUUAUGUCGGACUGGAUACUACGAAGUUCAUCGUGGAUGGGUGGCAUGAAAUGGAUGCAGAGAACCCAUUACAUCAGCCCAGCCCAUGCUUGAAUAAGCUGGUAGCAGAGAACAAGUUCGGCAAGAAGACUGGAGAAGGAUUUUACAAAUACAAGUGAUGUGCAGCUUCUCCGGCUCUGAGAAGAACCCCUGAGAGCGCUUUCCAGCCAGUGCCCCGAGUGCCUGUGGGAAUGCUCUUUGGUCAGACAUUCCCUCACACAGCACAGUCUAAUAAAUGUGCAUUUUGAUUGUAA